GGGCACGUAGCUCAGCUGGCUAGAGCGUCUCGUUGACAUCGAGGAGGUCACAGGUUCAAGUCCUGUCGUGCCCA
rnacentral:tRNA from 1 species